rnacentral:rRNA from 1 species
UACGUAGGGUGCAAGCGUUAAUCGGAAUUACUGGGCGUAAAGCGUGCGCAGGCGGCUUUGCAAGACAGAUGUGAAAUCCCCGGGCUCAACCUGGGAACUGCAUUUGUGACUGCAUGGCUAGAGUACGGUAGAGGGGGAUGGAAUUCCGCGUGUAGCAGUGAAAUGCGUAGAUAUGCGGAGGAACACCGAUGGCGAAGGCAGGUCUCUGGGCUGACACUGACGCUCAUGCACGAAAGCGUGGGGAGCAAACAGG